GGCAAGAUGGCCGAGCGGUCCAAGGCGUGUGAGUCAAGCGAAAGCUUGCCUGCGUGUGCAGGUUUUAUUCUCAUCUAGGUAUCUGGGCGCGGGUUCGAAUCCCGCUCUUGUCA